UUCUGUGAGUGCAAAAACUAAUUGCCUAUGGAUAAUAUGGAGGAAGAUCAUGGUUUAGAUGGUGGAUAAAUUGUUCCUUUGAUUACAGGAUUCAGAUUCUUGCCCAUAGUUAAAGUUGCUCCCGAGGCUUCUUCUACUUCUAGCAAUAAUAAUCCUGACCAAACAACCCUUGAUCUUAGUAAUUCAGCUUCUUGAAAUCAUCAAGUGGAGAUCUUUGAUGAAUUUGAUCCCUGCGGUUCAGUUUCAGAACAAGAGCAGCUGAGCCAACAAGAAAUUAGAGAAGAAACUAUGCCACAGCCGCAACUACGAAGGUCAAGCAGGAAGCGGAAUUGGAACACAGUGCGCAGACCACUGCCUGAAUCCAAGCUUUUGCCCUGCCCCUUACCUUGGAGCUGCUCGACCUAUAGU